AUCGUCGUCGUCAUCGGUCAUCGUCAUUGGUCAUCUUCGUUGUUAUUUUUGAGCUUGAUUUGGAUUUUUUUUUAAUUUUGUUUUUUUGUCUGUGAAAUUACAGGAGCAGAAGUUUCUGGUUGGUGUUAUCUUGAUGGUCCCUUGCUAUGCCAUUGAAUCGGUACAGAAAUGAUGAAAGCCAAGAUUGAGAUUGAUACUGACAGGUUCCUAGUGAGUAUUUGAUAUUGAGGAACAAGUUUUUGGAAACAAAUAGAGAAUAUAGUCUUUGACCGAGAAGUUUCAUGUUUUGUAAUCAAAUGUUGAUGUACAUUGUUUGAAUGUUAGUUCGGUACGAUAUUUUCUGAGUUGAAAUGUUGGUAGUGUGGAUUUAAUACUUUGUAGUUUUUAUACUAUACUGAUGUAUGUUGGCACUUAUCAUUAUGGUUGAUUAUGCUCAACAUAAUCACUUUUAUAUUGUGUA